rnacentral:rRNA from 2 species
UUGACCUCGAAUCAGGUAGGAAUACCCGCUGAACUUAAGCAUAUCAAUAAGCGGAGGAAAAGAAACCAACCGGGAUUACCUCA